CACAUUUCACGAUGGCGCAACAGUAUUCCCCGAACGUGGCGACAGCUGUUUGGCAAAGGUCCUUGUAAAUGAUCAGAUCACCUGACAGUCAACAAACUGAGAAGCUAUCUUGUUUCCUGUUCUGAGAUACAGCGACGGCCUUUAGCAAACAACAUUUCCCAUAAGUCCCAGACCUUCACGGGUUUAAACGUGAAGGCAAGGGGGUCGUGGUGAGUGCAGGCAUGUCUGUAACAGCAGCAGGACAGAGAGGACUGAACACUGGCAGAUUCCAGCAGCAAAACCCUGCCACUCACGCCUGCCCUGCAGUAACCCCACCACCGGCCUUCCCCGCCUUCCCAGACACCUCAUUCUCCCCACGGCCAUCUGCUCACCUGUUCUCCAUUCCCUCAUUAGCUCCUUAGUGAAUAUAUUGCUCUAUGUCCACUUGCACCCUGCCAGAUUGUCUAUCAUGCCAUCGCAGCUGCAGUGUUCAAGCCCCUGUCUGUUUUGCCCACCAGUUUCUGACCUCCUGCUUGCUCCCAUUUGCUUUUUUUUUUUUUGUGUGUGUGUGUGUGGUGCUCCUGCCUGUUACAAACCACCUCCUGCCCACGGACUUCACCCCUUACCUGCCCCUCGCCUGCUUUACUUUUAAAUAAAGGUGAACUCCUUGAACUUUUUAGAGUCUGAGCGUCUCUGAGAACUCGAGACACCGAUGACAGGAAAUGUUGCUGCAUGAAAGAUUGCGCUGAGUUACAGUGGAGCUGUGCAAAAACUCUUUUGACAGAUAUUGCGAUUACGGUUUGAGUCACAAUUUUUG